UGGAUCCAGACUUUGAUCAUGGCUCAGGAUAAACGCUGGCGGCGCACAUAAGACAUGCAAGUCGAACGAACUUAACCAUUAGUUUACUAUUGGAGCGGCUAGUGGCGGACUGGUGAGUAACACGUAAGCAACCUGCCUAUCAGAGGGGAACAACAGUUAGAAAUGACUGCUAAUACCGCAUAUGCCUUGAGUAUUGCAUGAUACAAAAGGGAAAGGAGCAAUCCGCUGAUAGAUGGGCUUGCGUCUGAUUAGCUAGUUGGUGGGGUAAAGGCCUACCAAGGCGACGAUCGGUAGCCGGACUGAGAGGUUGAACGGCCACAUUGGGACUGAGAUACGGCCCAGACUCCUACGGGAGGCAGCAGUCGGGAAUAUUGCGCAAUGGAGGAAACUCUGACGCAGUGACGCCGCGUGCAGGAAGAAGGUUUUCGGAUUGUAAACUGCUUUAGACAGGGAAGAUAAUGACAGUACCUGUAGAAUAAGCUCCGGCUAACUACGUGCCAGCAGCCGCGGUAAUACGUAGGGAGCAAGCGUUAUCCGGAUUUAUUGGGUGUAAAGGGUGCGUAGACGGGAAGGCAAGUUAGUUGUGAAAUCCCUCGGCUUAACUGAGGAACUGCAACUAAAACUAUCUUUCUUGAGUGCUGGAGAGGAAAGUGGAAUUCCUAGUGUAGCGGUGAAAUGCGUAGAUAUUAGGAGGAACACCAGUGGCGAAGGCGACUUUCUGGACAGUAACUGACGUUGAGGCACGAAAGUGUGGGGAGCAAACAGGAUUAGAUACCCUGGUAGUCCACACCGUAAACGAUGGAUACUAGGUGUAGGGGAUGAAUAAUCUUCUGUGCCGUCGCAAACGCAGUAAGUAUCCCACCUGGGGAGUACGGCCGCAAGGUUGCAACUCAAAGGAAUUGACGGA
rnacentral:rRNA from 1 species